AAAUAGACUACCCCGGUAGUCCACGCCGUAAACGAUGGAUACUAGCUGUUUGAGCGCAAGUUUGAGUGGCUAAGCGAAAGUGGUAAGUAUCCCACCUGGGGAGUACGGGCGCAAGCCUGAAACUCAAAGGAAUUGACGGGGGCCCGCACAAGCGGUGGAGCAUGUGGUUUAAUUCGAUGAUACGCGAGGAACCUUACCAGGGCUUAAAUGUAGAUUGACGUAUUUGGAAACAGAUAUUUCUUCGGACAAUUUACAAGGUGCUGCAUGGUUGUCGUCAGCUCGUGCCGUGAGGUGUCAGGUUAAGUCCUAUAACGAGCGCAACCCCUGUUGUUAGUUGCCAGCGAGUAAUGUCGGGAACUCUAGCAAGACUGCCAGUGUAAACUGUGAGGAAGGUGGGGAUGACGUCAAAUCAUCACGGCCCUUACGUCCUGGGCCACACACGUGCUACAAUGGCCGGUACAGAGAGCAGCCACUUAGCGAUAAGGAGCGAAUCUAUAAAGCCGGUCACAGUUCGGAUCGGAGUCUGCAACUCG
rnacentral:rRNA from 1 species